UGUUGUUGCUGCUGAGAUUGUCCCAAACCACAGUGACUGGCUGAAACUUUGCUUUGAUCUUGACCUUUGACAGAUUAAAAAAAAAAAAAAUGGACGUAGUCAGCGGUUCCAGAAAGUGAAACCAAUAGAGAAGUGCCUAAAACGUGUAUUCUCUUGAAUGACCAGCAGAGGUUACAUGAACAAGGGCAUACAAGCACAAGUGUCCUACUUCAAAACUUGAAUGGACCAAAUGUGUCUCCUUACCUCUGGAGAAGGCAGGCUGUGAGAGUCCAGCCCUCCGAGAGGCUUGGUGAGCAGCUUGUCUCCCAGGGUGGAUCGCAGGAUUUGAGCCAUGACUGUCUGCUGCUCCACAGAGCAGUGGUUCUCCAGGGACAGGAUCAGAGGCAGUCCAGCUCCACACAACGACAACCGUGACUCAGCGCUCUGAGAAAAACAUCAUCGUUAAGAAUUACUACAAUAAAAGAAGAGUCUGAGAGUCAAGUAAUCUGUCCUUUUUCUCAAAUCUCAUUCUUUUUUUAUUUUCUUUUUUUUAUCAUCAUUUGAUCAUAUUUCUGAAAUGUGUCUUGUGCCCCAAUGCAUACUCUGUUCAC